rnacentral:misc_RNA from 1 species
UUGCUCAGGCCUCAGGACAAUAUCGGA